GCCCGCUCAGAAACUCAAAGGAAGUUGACGGGGCCCGCACAAGCGGUGGAGCAUGUGGUUUAAUUCGAUGAUACGCGAGGAACCUUACCUGGGCUCAAAUGUAUGUUGACGUAUUCUGAAAGGGAUACUUCUUCGGACAAUAUACAAGGUGCUGCAUGGUUGUCGUCAGCUCGUGCCGUGAGGUGUCGGGUUAAGUCCCAUAACGAGCGCAACCCCUAUCAUUAGUUGCCAUCAGGUCAAGCUGGGGACUCUAAUGAAACUGCCUACGCAAGUAGUGAGGAAGGUGGGGAUGACGUCAAAUCAGCACGGCCCUUACGUCCAGGGCUACACACGUGCUACAAUGGCCGGUACAAAGGGCAGCUACCUGGUGACAGGAUGCUAAUCUCAAAAGCCGGUCUCAGUUCGGAUCGGAGUCUGCAACCCGACUCCGUGAAGCUGGGAUCGCUAGUAAUCGCGCAUCAGCCAUGGCGCGGUGAAUACGUUCCCGGGCCUU
rnacentral:rRNA from 1 species